GUCCCUGGCCUUAUCUUAUAGUUAGGAUAGCCUUAUGCCUAUCCCACGCAUGCUUAAACUCCUUUACUGUGUUAACCUCUACCACUUCAACUGGAAGCCUAUUCCAUGCAUCCACUACCCUCUCAGUAAAGUAAUACUUCCUGAUAUUAUUUUUAAACCUUUGUCCCUCUAAUUUAAGACUAUGUCCUCUUGUUGUGGUAGUUUUUC